rnacentral:lncRNA from 1 species
AAUCACCAUACCAUCCAGUUUCAUUUCAAAAAUACGGAGUCCAGACACGCACUUACUCCUAUAUACAGACACUGCUCCACCGACGCUUCACUAGUUAACUCUUCUUUUUCACCACUUUUCCUUCAUCUUCUCUCGAGUUCUUUUGUGUCCAAAUCCAAAUUAUACAUUCUGUUGAAAAUAAGAAAAGAAAUGGCUAAAUUGCUAGUGUUAUUUGCUCUCUGCUUGCUACCAGCAAUUGCGACUGCUCGCUUUGUGGGCAACCCAUUACUUGUAACGGGUAAAGUCUACUGUGACACUUGCCGCUGUGGCUAUGAGACUGAUGCCUCCAAGUACCUCGCUGGUAACUAUACCGGACUCUCUCUCUCGCUCUCACCCACACAAACUGGCUUUGGAUUACUGUUUGAAGUUUUUUUUUUUUUUUUUGGAUCUUGCUUUUUUGUGUCCAAAAUGUGGUGCCUUUUGAAUUUGAGCUGGUUUGGUUGUGUAGUUGGUUAGAUCUAGCCAUUAUGGUGCUGAUCUAGUUAGUGUGUCAGAAGAAAUUUUUAUUGAAUAUGAUUUUGUAUGGUUUUUUUGGAGAAAUUGCUGUGAAUUUAGUUAUAAUUGGGUAGAAGAAGUUACCUUGGGAGUCAGAUGACUGGUUCUUGAAAUGCUUAAUUAGGUUAAUAUAAGAGUUCAGCCUAGUAGAAAUUGAAGGCAUACGACAAGACAAUAUCAUGAUGAACAUAAUUCUUAGCAAUACAAUGCAAAUUCGAACAAGAAAUUGGAAAGAUCUCACCACAAAUGAGUUAAUAUUGGGAUUGACAGAAUCACUUCGGAACUCUUGGAUUUUGAAGUCGACUGUAUAUAUUUGAAGAACAAUGUGCUUUGAACUUCCAGUUCAAUUUCAGCUUAAAAGGAUACUUGAGAUGAGAAAUAAAGGUUUGAUCAAGGAUGCACCCAAUUUCUGCGAAAUAUCUUGCGGCACUUGGGAAGAAUGCUCAAGUCAUUUAUAGCAUGUAUGGCCAUGCUCAGAGGCACCUUUUUAGGAGGUUUCUGAUAAGACAAACCACUAAAAAGUUGCUUUUAAGCAUGACCAAAUAUGCUUCUAGUCAAACUAAAUGAGAAGUAAGAUGUUCGGCUACCUAGAAGUUAGUUAAAAAGAAUUUAUUUGAAAUGUAAAUAAGUUACAUUUCAAAUAAGUUACUUUUAAGUUGCUUUCUAGCUUAACCAAACAUCAUCGUAAUCUCUCAAAUCUUUGCCAAAAAAAAUAAAAUCACCGUAGUGCCCCCAUCGAUCUCGUUCAAUUUUGGUAAGGUCUUCCAUGUGGUUGACAGGAGCAUGUUUGGUCUGGCUUAAAAGCCAAACUAAUUUUUUUUAGGCAGCAUGAACAUUCUAGAAAAAAGAUGGUGAGAAGCCAUUUUCUUUUGAAUUUUUAAGCUAGGCCAAAUAUGCUCUCAAAACCAAAUACUGUGUUUUGCCUUUAACAAAACAAAGAAUGGGUGUUUUGGUACCCUAUAAUAUUAUCAAGGGAUAGUCUAUUCAUUUAUCUUGGCUAAUGACUUGAGAGCCUUCUCUCCAAAAUUAGAAGUAGGAAGACUGAAAAUUUGCAGGAAUAGGGGCAACUAUGCACCCAUCAUUAAACUGUAAUAUCUUAGAGAUCCCUGGUGCGAUAGGAUUUGAAUUUGGACAGCAGGUUUAGACACAUUGUUCUUCGAUCUGUAAGGUGUAGAUGUCUUGACCUAUUAUUUAUAUGUUUAUUUCUCGAAUGCCUUCCCACCAUUUAAGGAAAUUCUUAAAAUGCGCUACAAAUUGAUUUUAAGACAGGACGCAUAGUGAAAUCAUAAUCAAAAUUUGGAUCGGGCACCUCCUGCAUCUCCAAAGGAGACACCAAAACACUAAAAUGUACCAAAUUUUGGUGCAAAAUAUCUCCAAUAUAGUACCAAACUUUGCACCAUUUUGGUACAAAAUGGUACAAGGUGAACAGUGUUGCACCAUAUUUUGCAUCAAAUGGUUAUCCUUUGUUUUUAUUUGCUUAACAAAUUGAUUAAGGGUAUUUGUGUCAUUUGUAUUAUAUAUUUUUUAAUACAAUAAAUUAUUAUUAUUAUUAUUAUUUAAAAUGAAUUUUAAUAAUGUAAAAAAAUAAUAGUUAAUGAAUUAAUUAAAAUAAGAAUAAAAAAUAAAAAAAAUAAAAAUAUAACAAACACG